rnacentral:rRNA from 1 species
UACCAGCACCCCGAGCGGUCGGGACGAUUAUUGGGCCUAAAGCAUCCGUAGCCGGUUCUACAAGUCUUCCGUUAAAUCCACCUGCUCAACAGUUGGGCUGCGGAGGAUACUAUAGAGCUAGGAGGCGGGAGAGGCAAGCGGUACUUAGUGGGUAGGGGUAAAAUCCGUUGAUCCAUUGAAGACCACCAGUGGCGAAGGCGGCUUGCCAGAACGCACUCGACGGUGAGGGAUGAAAGCUGGGGGAGCAAACCGG